rnacentral:rRNA from 1 species
UCGAUUCCGGAGAAGGAGCCUGAGAAACGGCUACUAUUUCUAAGGAAGGCAGCAGGCGCGUAAAUUACCCAAUCCUAACUCAGGGAGGUAGUUAAUAGAAAUAACACGUUCGGCUCUUUGAGCUCUGAACAUGUAAUGAGUUAAACGUAGACAACUUUUCGAAUCCUAUUGGAGGGCAAGUCUGGUGCCAGCAGCCGCGGUAAUUCCAGCUCCAAUAGCGUAUAUUAACGUUGUUGCAGUUAAAAAGCUCGUAGUUGAAACUCGGCGUUUCGCCUGUCCGGGAAGAGUCGGGAUACCCCCAGGGUUUCUCUUCUAUGAACGGACUUUUACUGUGAACAAAUUAAAG